rnacentral:rRNA from 1 species
UACGAAGGGUGCAAGCGUUACUCGGAAUUACUGGGCGUAAAGCGUGCGUAGGUGGUUCGUUAAGUCUGUCGUAAAAGCCCCGGGCUCAACCUGGGAAUGGCGAUGGAUACUGGCGGGCUAGAGUGCGGUAGAGGAGAGUGGAAUUCCCGGUGUAGCAGUGAAAUGCGUAGAGAUCGGGAGGAACAUCAGUUGCGAAGGCGGCUCUCUGGACCAGCACUGACACUGAGGCACGAAAGCGUGGGGAGCAAACAGG